AUUGAACGCUGGCGGCAUGCUUUACACAUGCAAGUCGAACGGUAACAGGCCUUCGGGUGCUGACGAGUGGCGAACGGGUGAGUAAUGCAUCGGAACGUGCCCAGAGGUGGGGGAUAACGCAGCGAAAGCUGUGCUAAUACCGCAUGUGAUCUGAGGAUGAAAGCGGGGGACCAAGCAGCAAUGUUUGGCCUCGCGCCUCUGGAGCGGCCGAUGUCAGAUUAGGUAGUUGGUGGGGUAAAGGCCUACCAAGCCGACGAUCUGUAGCUGGUCUGAGAGGACGACCAGCCACACUGGGACUGAGACACGGCCCAGACUCCUACGGGAGGCAGCAGUGGGGAAUUUUGGACAAUGGGCGCAAGCCUGAUCCAGCAAUGCCGCGUGCGGGAAGAAGGCCUUCGGGUUGUAAACCGCUUUUGUACGGAAAGAAAAGGCUCUGGCUAAUACCUGGGGCUGAUGACGGUACCGUAAGAAUAAGCACCGGCUAACUACGUG
rnacentral:rRNA from 1 species